rnacentral:misc_RNA from 1 species
CCCUCCAAUUUGUGGCACCAAGUGGUGCGUGCGUCCGUCCUUUGCUCUUGUUUGUUUGUUUGUUUGUUUGUUCUGGUUCGGUCCAUCAUCAGUCCGUAAUGCUCUUGGCUGGCACUGGCAGGCAAAAGAAUCCGCUUUUGUACUGCGCUUGCUUUGCCCGCAAAUUAAACCCGCGGAGGAGGAGGACAAGUUAACCCACCUACCAAUGGCGAGUUAUUCUAAAGCCUCUGCGCGGAAACAAAAAAGAAGAAAAAAAAGGAAACUUUCUCCGAUGAUGUCGCACGUGGGAGUGGGACCAGCGGCAGCGAGG